UCAGGAAGCCAGGGGGCCCAUGAGCCUACUGCCCCCCUGUCAUGGGCACAGAUUUAUCUAGAUAACUCCGUGACAGCUAUCAGCAGGGUGGGAUGCCAAAGCAAUGGAAAUAAAGAACUUCCAAAUUUUCUAGCACCCUGAUGGCAGACAGAAGCUGUGAUAUAACAUGGUGUAAGAGGUCAUUCUUUUACGCCGUUGCCUCAAGACUUGCUGAGGGACACAGAUGAACAAGUUCAAGCAAGUCCUGACCAGGGAUUGGGAAAUCAUUUGUCUGAAGGGACAACAGAUGGACAAGGCCAGGGGCAACGAGAGAGAGAUAAGUGGCAGCUAAAUGGCCAGGAAAAAGUCUUUUGUGUGGACUUAUCUCAAGGGAGACAGCCAUCUCGGGGGGUGGGGUGGGGUGGGGGGGUGCUCACAUGACCCUUACCCAAGUGCCCGGGAAUGUCAUGUAGGCAGGGAAGAAGGAGGAGGAUAAAAGAGGGUCCAACAACCAUGAAGGCAGGUUUCUGACAACAAAUUCCUCAUGACCUGCCUCUCCCUUCUAGACUUGCUCUGUUCUCUACCUGCUUGCUGCCUAAGGAUGGCUCCUCUGCUGCUGCUCUCCCCCCGAGGGGGUGUCUGCCAUCAGAUCCCUCACUACGAAAGGCCUGCAUGCUGUCGGACUCUCCAGGGCCUGCUACUGGAGACUUGCUGCUUCCGCCUGGACUUCUUCCUGGACCUACUCGAUACCUGCACCUUCUCGUUGCCCAAAAUCAGCCACGUUGCUGCUGCUCUUCCCCUGCGUUUUUGCCCAGGACUGUCAGAACGUCGUGCAAUGGGACUACUGCCAGAUCCUGGUCGUGACUAUCCCCACUUUACGCAAUUCUUGCUUCUUCCUAUCUUUUCUAUUGCUCGCUUUCCCUUCCCCAUCACCGCAAUCGGUAAUAGUGUCCGUCCUCCCUUUCCCCAUCUCCCUUAUUAAGUUUUGUAAUAGACUGGUCAGACCAACAUCUGGACCGUUGUUUCUUAAUGUCACGCCAGGUAUACGUAUUUCAAAGAACCUUCUCUCCCUCCUAUUAAUUAGAGUGAGACACAUGGAUUUGCAUUCUAGUGAGAUCCUUCAGUCUAAUCCACAAUGUGUUGGUUAUAAUGAAGCACAUUUGAAAUGUUUCUACAGCAUGUAGCAUGAAGGACAAUCAAGAGGAGCUAUAAUUCUUAGCUCAGUUUCAGACUUACAACAGCAAUGACAUAAGUGAAACCUGGUGAGAAGAGACAUGAUGAAUAGUUCUGGGUACUUCAGAAGGGACAGGUAGAGCAGAAAAUUUGGGGGGAUGCCACUGUGUAUGAGGGAAUAGCUGGGCUGUAUGGACCUCACAGCUAAUGAUGAAUAGGUUGAGAUCCUCUGUGUAAGACAAGCAAACUAAAGUGAAUGUCAGUGGCGGGCUCUACUAUGGCCCACCCAGCUGAGAUGUUGACAUCAGUGAAUUAUUACUUAAGAAAUUAUUUAAGACACCUCUAGAUUAGCCAUCCCUGUCAUUAUGGAAGAAUUCAACUUCCUAGGUGUUAACUGGGAAUAUCUCACAUUUGAUACAAACAGGUCCAGAAAAUUCCUAAGUCACUUUGAUAAUAGCUUCUUGAUAAAGGAAAUAAGGGAGCCAACAAGGAAAAAAAGCAAUCCUAGAUUUUUUGCUUGUAAACAGAGAUUCUCAUGGGUGACAUAGGAACUGAUAGUCUUAUUGGCCAUAGUGACUAUGAAGUUGUCAAGUUUAAAAUCUGUGAUGAGAGAGGGAAAGCUGCCACCAACUGAAUGUUUGGAGAGUAGAAUUCAGACUACUCAGGUAAUGAAUUAGUAAGGUCCCAGUUGCCUGAAAGCUGGCAAACAAAGUUUCAGUUUUCAAGAAGGGCAAGAAAGAAGACUCUGGUAAUUACAGGUCAGCAAUCUAAAUUCAGGGUCUGGUAAAAUCAAAGAGAUUAUUCUAGGAGUUACUGAAAAACACUUGAAAGACAUUGCAGUUAUUGGUCACAGCCAACAUGGGUUCAGGAGGUGAAAGUCCUAUUUAACAAAUUUAAUUUUCUUUAAUGACAAAGUUACCCAUCUAGUAGAACAAGAGAAUCUCACUGAUGUAAUUUUUUAAGAGUUCAGCAAAGAUUUUGGCACUAUUUCUCACAAUAUCCUUCUGGACAAAACAUCUGUCAUAAAGCUAGACAAAUGAGUAACGCAGUGUUUGAACAAUUGGUUGAUGGGCUGGGCUCAGAGGGUUAUAGUAAAUGGAGUUACCUCAGGCUAGUGGCCAAUUGCCAGUGGGGUUCCCCAGAAUAGUAUUUUAUAAAUAUUAUAAUAAUUCCAGAAUAAUAAUUAAUAAAUAAUAAUAUAAUGCAAUAUAAUAUAAUAAAUUUUAAUAUAAUAUUUUAUAAAAUGUUU